ensembl:lncRNA novel transcript
AACGUCUUUCAGGUCUUAAGGCUCCUGAGACCGUGGUAUGUAUGUUAUAAAACACUGUGAAUCCUAUAACUUGUCUGUUUUCUUCAUUGCUCAGAGCCAAAUGUGUGAUCCCCCUCCAGAAAAGACUUGAGUCUUUACAGUUGGAAUUUCCGUGUCGUGAGUGACAGGAUCUUGGUCCAUCACCCAGGCUGGAAUACAGUGGUGCAAUUAUAGUUCACUGCGGCCUCAAAUUCCUGCACUCAACAGAUCCUCCCACCUCAGCCUCGCAACUGGCUGGGACUACAGGGAUGCACCACCACACCUGGCUAAUUUUUAACUCUUUCGUAGGAAUGAGGUCUUGCUGUGUUGCCCAGGCUGGUCUCGAACUCUGGGGGUCAAGAGAUCCUCCCAUCUCGGCCUUCCAAAGUGUUGGGAUUACAGGCACGCACCACCACACCUGGCUACAUGCCUAAUUUAACAUGAGCUAGAGUUAGGUUUGGCCAUCCCUAGUGUUCAGUGGAGUUGUAGAGUUAGUCUCAAAUGCCAGAGUGAAAGUCCUUGCCUAUCACUCCCUCAUGGGGUAACCAUGGUGGAGCUGCCCAAUUUCCUCAUC